UACACAAACAUAAUUCACACACUUUAAGAGGUCUUCAGGGUUGUAACGGGGCUUAGGUAUGGUGGGAGAGUAGACAACAAAAUGGAUUACAAAUGGUUUUACAACUCGGCAUUCAUGUUGUUGUUUUUCUUUGUGCAGGAAUUUUUAUUAGGGUGUCGUCCAAUCUUGACUCUUUUUCACUCAAAUUCACAUUAAUGCAUGAGUCUAUUUCUCAGGCAAGUGCUUAUUCUUCAUUUCUCUCUCUAUAUAUUUUUUUCAUUUCUUUUUCUCUUUUUUUUUCGGUAGAAGCGGAUGUUUCUAUACAGUUUUUUUUCUUUUUCUCAUCUUUCUUUUCCUUGCACUUGCCCUUUUUCAACAUUUUUUUUCUACGGAUUAAUACCCCAAACUUAUCUUUUUGCACAAGGUUUACAUUAUAACAGUCAUGUCGAGCGAGGGUAGGAAGUGUAUGGCUAAU
rnacentral:lncRNA from 1 species